AGGACGAACGCUGGCGGCGUGCUUAACACAUGCAAGUCGAACGGAAAGGCCCGCUUGCGGGUACUCGAGUGGCGAACGGGUGAGUAACACGUGGGCAACCUGCCCUCAGCUUCGGGAUAACACUUGGAAACAGGUGCUAAUACCGGAUAAUAACUUGUCAUCGCAUGGUGGUGGGUUCAAAGUUUUUCGGCUGAGGAUGGGCCCGCGGCCUAUCAGCUUGUUGGUGGGGUAAUGGCCUACCAAGGCGACGACGGGUAGCCGGCCUGAGAGGGCGACCGGCCACACUGGGACUGAGACACGGCCCAGACUCCUACGGGAGGCAGCAGUGGGGAAUAUUGCGCAAUGGGCGGAAGCCUGACGCAGCGACGCCGCGUGAGGGAUGACGGCCUUCGGGUUGUAAAGCUCUUUACUCGGGAAGAUAGUGGCGGUACCGAGAGAAUAAGCCCGGCUACUUCGCGCCACGCAGCCGC
rnacentral:rRNA from 1 species